AAGUCGUAACAAGGUUUCCGUAGGUGAACCUGCGGAAGGAUCAUUAAAGGGAAUUCCGGGGUUUCGUCCCCGUCCUCCCACCCAUGAAUACGCGAGGUCAAUCAUCGAGUUACUUCGGCGGAUCUUUUCGCCGCGAGCAACAACCACAAACUCUAAUUCGACGUGUCGUCUGAGUAAAAACACAAACGAAUCAAAACUUUCAACAACGGAUCUCUUGGUUCUG
rnacentral:misc_RNA from 1 species